UUUAAAAGGUCAGUAUCUAUAGGGUCAUAUCCAUGAAAGGGAACCAUUAGUGAAAUAUUAGGAUAAUGUGCUUGCCUAUUUUAAAUCAAAUCUAAUUGAUGUACUUGAAAAUUCAGGGUGGAUCAAUUCAAGAGCCACCAUUCACGUUUCAAGUUUCAUUCAAGGGUUUAUCAAGAGCUGGUAGCCCAUUGAUCCGGAGCUUUGCGUCAUGAUGAGCAUUGUUUGAAGUAUCCCGGAUAUUAUCAAAAUAUCCCUGUUAUUAUUCGUAUCUCUAGCUCGACGAUACCAAUAACAUCGGUAGCGAUACUAAUAAUACUGGUAGUAUUAGAAAUUUAGGUGUAUCACUCUCUAAUGUCUCGAUAUUGCCAAUAUUUUCGACCGUGUAAAUUCCAAGUGUUGCUUGUAUUGCCAAUUUAUUGAUAUCAUCACCAAUAUUUUCAAUAGUGUACAUUUCAGUUGUCGUUGGUAUUGCUAGUGUAACGACAAUAUUUCGAUAACAUGUCACGGGUUUGGGUAAAUGGCGUUGGUCGUGGGUUUGCUCCCUACAAAAACGAGUUCGAUUCCCCUCCCCGUGGAUUACCCGAUGUACGUGGUUGGCGGGUGAUUGCGUGCAUUUGCAGGGAAUAGUCUUGCCUUAAAGAGGCAGAGACACCAUGUCGUCAUAAAAAAGAAGGAAAAAACGACAAUAUUUCGAUAAUAUCAUCAAAAGAUUGUUUAUUUAAAAAAUUUCAUUUCAAUUUUUUAUGGGCGCACAAUUGUAUGCAAUGUUCAAUUUUGUCGACAAUAAUAUCACGAUAUUAUCAUUAUCAUAACACGGGCUAUAUCGAGACCACAAUCUUUUGCCUCCUUUCCAAUUGUCGACGAUUUCUCGAUGAAAUGUCGUGUGUUGUCGAUAUUCUGAAAUAUCAAUGGAUGUUUGGAUGGAAGGUUGGAUGGAUAGAUGGGAUAGUUGGAUGGAUAGAUGGGAUGGUUAGACUGAUUUCUUACGAGUGCCAAUGUUUUUAGGACUCCAUUAAAUGAAAACUUGUUAUGUAUGCAUUCUUUUUACAAUUUUUUGAUACCUAAUAUGAAAAUUUGUAUAUUUUGGCUUCUCCUGGAGUUUUAGUGAAAACUUCCAUUGUUUUCCCAAUGUUUUCCCACAUUUCCAGUUAUCAGCGAUAUCGAUAUUGUUUCUGUAUUCCCAACCAGCGAAACUUGUAGUGAUACAGAUAUUUCGAACACUGAUGAUGAACAAUGACACUUAGAUAAAGAUUAAGGCUAUAGGGGUUAUAGGUCAAAGUUACAAUUAGAAGUUUAUUUGGACCUUGAUAACGUUCUUUAUGUACCUUCCAUUAGGUGCAUUUCCAUUUCCAAAGGAAUCAAGGUUAUUUAUUUUCCUUUGGAAAUGGAAAGUUUGUGUUGUCAUGUGGUUUAGAUAUAAUCAGUCUUGUGGCUCGUUAGUAGAUACCUUAUAUUAAUUGGACCUUGAUGGGUCAAGGGGUAAGGCUAAGCCUAAAUGGAGGGUUGCUCUGUUGGCGGUUAGUUGGUCACUUUGGAGUGAGAGGAAUGCCGCUGCUUUUGGAAUUGGCGUUGUUUGGCUUUGGAGGUUGUUAGUCAAGUCUAUUAGUUCCUUUUGGAUUGGGUGCCUUUGUUGGCUUGGUUGCAUCUUUUCCAAGGUAUUUUGUAACGGUAACGGUGGCCAUAACGGCGACCACCGUUACCUUUAUGAUACGCGGUGUAACGGCUGUUAUGGGCUGUUACGACCUUUUAAAAAUAAAUAAAUCCAAAAAACCUGUAUUGGCCCCGUAACGGUCCAUUACGGGGCGGUAUGACCUUUACAGAAUGCAUAACGGGCUACGAGUUAUUUUUUUCGUAACGAUUGUUACAGCCUUUACGACCUCGUAACGUUAAUGGUUACUGUUACCUUUACAUAAUGGCCUUUAUGGCCCCGUAACGGCCUUUAUGACACACCAUGGUCUUUUCAUUGAUGGGUAGGGGAGUUGUUUUAUGAAUGGUACAAAGCAUACGAUUACAACUUCAUCCACAAAGGAAGUGGAGUUUAUUGCCAGCUACAUGGCCACAUUUCAGGUAUUGUGGGUGUAGAAUUUCAUCUUAGGGCUUUAGAUUAUGGAUUUAGUUCCAUCACCGCCGAUGAUCUAUUGUGAUAAUACUGCUGCAAUGUUCUUUCUAACAACAACAAAAGUUCAUCUAGGUCGUUUCUGGUCGUGAAGGAGGAGAUUCAGGAUGGUUAAGUAUCUUUGGAACACAUUAGCAUGAAGCUGAUGGUUGUGGACCCACUAAUAAAGGGCUUACCUCCUAAGUCUUUUAAAGAGUCCGUGAGCUGUAUGGGAGUGAUUAGCACUCAUGAUGUAUUUCAUUAGUGGGAGUUUACGGGAUACAAACAUUUCAAUUUUGAUCACACUCUAAUUCAUUCAAUUCGAUUGACGAUUCUAGUUUAUGGCAUCAUAUUUUUUAUGCUUAUUAUCAUAAUAUCGUUUCAUGGGCUUGUUUAAAUCGAAUGAACAAAAUAGUUUGGCACUUUGAGGCAUAAGGCAUCUCUUAGUAGAGAUGGUAGGACUACCUUGCAAUUUCUAUACCACAUGUUCAUUUUAAGGUGAUUUGUGUUGCUAAGAGUGCUUAUAUCUAUGAUCAUGCCUAAUCCCACUUCGAUAAAUGUAUUGACAAAUGCCUUGGUCCCUUAUCAUUAGUUUUAAUGGACUAGAUUAUUUAGGGUAGUACUUGGGAUAUGUAAUAAGUAUAUGUUAAAGGUUUGAGCUCAUAAAGUAUGUUCUAGAUAUAUCUUAUCCAUUGUAUAUCACCGUCUUGCAAGUGUCACAAGUGAGAGAAUGUUAGCAAUGUCUUCAAUGGGGCCACUCGAGGCACUUGUAUCUAGGGCUUUGGUGUACCUUAUCUCUCAAGUCAUGUGGGGAGAGAAUGAAGUUAAAUGGAUUUCUUACACAAAACACGUGUGGAGAUGGAGGGCUUUAAGAGUCCUAUGAUGGAAAAGACUUGAAUGAGCAAUUUUAUAGCAACUCUUGGUCCCCUAAUCCACUCACAUUCCAGAGCAUCAAAGGCUCCAUUGAAUACUGCUUAAAAGGGUGAGGAGGUGGAAGUAUCCAGUGCAUUGGCAUGGUAAUCAAACUGUCUAUGAUUGGAAUGCCAGGCAAGUGUUUUUUUCCUGUUUAUCUUCAUGAUUGAUGCAUGGUAGUUAUGACUAAAGAAACCAGUGAUUACAGUACCGAUAAUAUCGGCUAAUAUUAUUGGUAUCACACAUGGGCCAUACGAAACUAGGCUGGAAUGUCUCAAUUCCUUGGUAUCAGUCAAUGUAUCACAUUGUAUCAUCAAUGUAUUGCUGAUAUCGCAAUGUAUCGUGACAUAUCGACGAACUUCUCUUUGAAAAAAUCCUCGUUAUCUACGAUAUCGAUAGAUAUUGUCGACACCUGACAGGAGCUGUACCUACUUUGUCUAAAAAUCCAUUAUAAGUCAUUUUUCCACUUUUUCCUUCAAUCUUCUCUUUCAAAUAGAUCACAAGUGGAUUUUGGUCCAUCCUUUGCAAUCUUUUGGGAGAAAAAUGUAGAUUUCAAAGCCAAAUAAAAUUUUUUCUGGAUUUGGGGCCGAUUCUCAUUCAGUAAGUGUUUUUUGCAUUUUGAUCCAUUUUCGGUGUAUAAAUCAUACAAAAUCAGUGUCAAAAGGUUAGAAAUUCCUGAUUCUUCAUGUUUUGCAUGAAAAAUCAAGAAUUUGAACCAUCGAUUUCGAGAUUUGAGGGUAGGUGGUCCAAUUUUGGGAAAUUGGGGAAAAUUUGAAAUUUGCCCAAUUUCUCCUAAAUUGGUUGCAAUCUUACACUCCAAAUACAAAUUAAAUUAAACACAUAUGAGGUCUAAUCUACUAAUUCACGAAGUUUUUGUAAUUUUUGAAAAAUAAUAAUUUAUAAUUAAAGAAUAAUAAAAAUUUAUUAAAAUAUGAUUUUUUAAAAUUUUUUUUUUUUUUUCAAAAUUUCACUUCUAGCAGCGUUCAAUUGAGUCUAUUUUCAUAGUAUUUAGGAGUGUUUGAUGAAAUCAUCAUCACAUACAUUUUCACAGUAGGUUGUGUUUCCAUAAAUGUCUUCUUACAUUUAUAACUAUUAUGAAUUCACUUUGAUUAUAGUUACAUCAAGUUCAGUCAGAUAACGCAUAGCUUAGGACCCUAUACAAAGGAAACCUAUUAUGUGCACUUUUGUUGUGAUGUGAUGAUUUAAAAUUGUGUAUUAAGGUCUUUUUUAACAAUCCCUAAAGUUUCAUUAAAAAAUUUGACCAAUUUCCCAAUGUUUUCCCAUAUUUCCGAAAAAGUACGAUACAUUACCCAAUAUAAACGAUAUAUUUCAUGCCAUAACUGAUACAUGUGCAUUCCAAGGGUGCGAUACAUAACGCGACAUCGAUACGGUAAACAAUGAGAGAAAUAAUAACAUUCACCCCUUGAAAAUUCAUAGCAUAAGCCUUAACCUGCACAUUACUUCUAGGCUUUUAGUUAAAAUAAUAGGAAAAUAGUAAAAAUAAAGAUAAAAAUAGCAACCAAAAAAAAAAGAAAAAAAGAAAAAAAAAAGAAAAAAGAACAA